AGAGUUUGAUCAUGGCUCAGAAUCAACGCUGGCGGCGUGCCUAACACAUGCAAGUCGAGCGAGAAAGGGGCUUCGGCCCUGAGUACAGCGGCGCACGGGUGAGUAACACGUGGGUAAUCUGCCCUAGAGUGGGGAAUAACACCGGGAAACCGGUGCUAAUACCGCAUACGAUCGCGAAGUCUUCGGAUUUUGUGAUGAAAGGAGCAAUUCGCUCUUGGAGGAGCCCGCGGCUGAUUAGCUAGUUGGUAAGGUAAUGGCUUACCAAGGCAACGAUCAGUAGCCGGUCUGAGAGGACGGUCGGCCACACUGGAACUGAGACACGGUCCAGACUCCUACGGGAGGCAGCAGUGGGGAAUUUUUCGCAAUGGGGGCAACCCUGACGAAGCAACGCCGCGUGGAUGAUGAAGUCUCUUGGGACGUAAAAUCCUUUCGACGGGGAAGAAACCGCAAGGUUGACGGUACCCGUAGAAGAAGCCCCGGCUAACUCCGUGCCAGCAGCCGCGGUAAUACGGGGGGGGCAAGCGUUGUUCGGAAUUACUGGGCGUAAAGGGCGCGUAGGCGGUUCGCUAAGUUGAAUGUGAAAACUCUGGGCUUAACCCAGAGCCUGCAUUCAAUACUGGCGGGCUAGAGUUCUGGAGGGGAUAGCGGAAUUCCUGGUGUAGCGGUGAAAUGCGUAGAUAUCAGGAGGAACACCGGUGGCGAAGGCGGCUAUCUGGACAGAGUCUGACGCUGAGGCGCGAAAGCUAGGGGAGCAAACAGGAUUAGAUACCCUGGUAGUCCUAGCCCUAAACGAUGGAUACUUGCUGUGACUGGGAUUGAAUCCAGUCGUGGCGAAGCUACGCAUUAGUAUCCCGCCUGGGGAGUACGGUCGCAGGCUGAAACUCAAGGAUUGACGGGGCCCGCACAGCGGUGGAGUAUGUGG
rnacentral:rRNA from 1 species